rnacentral:rRNA from 1 species
ACGGAGGGUGCAAGCGUUAUCCGGAAUCACUGGGUUUAAAGGGUGCGUAGGCGGCGCAAUAAGUCAGAGGUGAAAUCCUACAGCUUAACUGUAGAACUGCCUUUGAAACUGUUGUGCUCGAAUAGAGUUGAGGUUAGCGGAAUGUGACAUGUAGCGGUGAAAUGCAUAGAUAUGUCAUAGAACACCAACUGCGAAGGCAGCUAACUGGGCUUUUAUUGACGCUGAGGCACGAAAGCGUGGGGAGCGAACAGG